rnacentral:rRNA from 1 species
UACGAAGGGGGCUAGCGUUGCUCGGAAUCACUGGGCGUAAAGCGCACGUAGGCGGCUUCUUAAGUCAGGGGUGAAAUCCUGGAGCUCAACUCCAGAACUGCCUUUGAUACUGAGAAGCUUGAGUCCGGGAGAGGUGAGUGGAACUGCGAGUGUAGAGGUGAAAUUCGUAGAUAUUCGCAAGAACACCAGUGGCGAAGGCGGCUCACUGGUCCGGUACUGACGCUGAGACGCGAAAGCGUGGGGAGCGAACAGG